CCAGGAGUGAAGCUGGCUGCCAUGUCCUAUCCACAGAGUGCCUGCACUAGGUUGGGGUGUUGUUCCAGGACCUUACUUCAGAUAUCUCCUCCAAGCAUUUGGAGACCUCAUUUCUUGUUUUAACUCCCUCUCUGACUGAAAUACCCUGAGUGGUUUCUGUUUCAUUUUCUAUUGGAAACUGACAGAUAAAGAAGCACGUGGAGAGGUCUGUUGGUGAACUCCAAGUUUCCAGGUCCCCCCAGUGGGAGUGGUUUCCUACCUAAUUAAGCAGCCCAGCCAGCAGAGAAGGCACUGUCCUCCUUGAAACUGGAACCUAUAAGCAGAAUGAUCAAAGGGUGAGAGAAAGACCAUCUACAUCUGAUUUCCAUUUUGGGUAGGUUUAUUUAGGUGUUUUCUGUUUCCAUAGCAAAAAAGGAAGCAGCAACUGGAGCAAGAAGAUGAUAAAGAAUUAUGAUGUUAAGUUAAAAUUUGUUGAACGGAAAUUAAUAAAACCUGAUGACACUCCAGAGUUUUCUGUUCUACAAGUAAAUUUAUAAAAGGUCCUUUUGUGGAGUUUCAUGGUGGCCUAGUGGUUAAGGACUUGGUGGUGUCACUGGGAACUUACACAUGCCAAGGAUGUGGCUCAAAAAUGAGGGGGGUGGGGUAUAUUUGUGUCAAUGUUUUCCUUGUUUGCUUGCUUUUUGUUAUUUUGUUUUUUAUGUUUAUAAGACAAGUAUUUCUUUCCAACGUGGUCCAGAACAAAGGGGUGGAGUAAUGCUUGUCAAGAUCUAAGGACACAUAUAGAACAGUCUGGGGAACUCCCUGGCCCUAAACCUUGGAGGAUUUAGAUCUGAGAAAAAUAGUCAUUUAAUUGGGCUUUAAAGACAAUGAAACUGAGAAAGUCUGUACUUGGUCUUUUAUAUAAAAAUUUUAAAACCAAGAAUAAGAAAUAGGGAAAGGGAGUAUGUGUCUGCCUCUAGAGGGAAGAGAAUAAUAUCCUUUUCAGAACCAAUUGAUUUUAGCGUGAGUUCUUUUUUUUUUUUUUAAGGUAAAAAUAAAAAGAACAAAAAAAUCAUCUGAGGAGAAACUAGAUGAUUCUGCCAAAUUUACAACAAAGUAUUGCUAUUUGAGGUAUUACUAAGAAUAGAUCGGAGCAGGGAAAUUCAAUUAAAAUUGGUUUGGGGGAAUCAAGGGAGUCAACAAUUGAGAAAUAAGAGUCCAGAGUUCAGUCUGGGGACCUGCAGAGAAAACUGUUCAACUUGGAAUUAAUGAAUGGCUUUGGGGUCUAGCAAAAAAGGCUGAACUUGAACUAGGCAAGAGCCAAAGACACUAACUAUCCUAAGAGAAAAAUAAAAGAAAUAGUUAAUGAACAAGUUAACAAAUUGUGUGUAGUUAGCAACAAGAGUAUGUGCUAGAUGUGUGAAUGGGGGUGAGGUAUAUAUUUGUGGUAUGUGUGUAUUUGGUGUGGGCACCCAGGUGUUCCGACACUGCAGCACAUGCCCUUGAUUGCAGGGACUUUGCAAUAUUGACAGGCCCUGAAUGUGGUCUGUCCUGGGGAGGAGGAAGUGAAGGUGCCCAGAGACAUGUGGUUUGGGGUGCCUCCCCUUUGUAGAAGGAAAA